rnacentral:lncRNA from 7 species
AGAGCUGUCUGUGCUUGAGGGCUCUGAAGUACCAAGCAGAUAUGAUUGUGCUGAGCCCUUCCAAUCUGAAUUACUGCAUGAUCCCACCUUUCGCAAACCCAGCUGUAUGGAAGACAAUUCCUUCCUUUACCUGACAGCUGUGGUUUUUUGGCUGUGCUGACAGUAGGACACAAUGAUUCUCACCUGGGUGACAAGGAAGUGCACUUUCUGCAGAUUUUCAUGCCAGUAAAUAUUGUCCUGGAUGUGGUGAAGAACAGCUGAAGAGAAGACUCAAGUAUCUUAAAAUUCAGAAUUAAUAAGGGUGGGAUUCUGUGUUCCUUGUUCAAGCAAAGUCCUGCUGUGCUGUGCAGUGGAGUCAAAGUAAUGGACUGUUGCCCAAAUGAAGACUGCAGCACUUGGAAAUAUAAGGCCAAGCAGAUUUUCUCCUCUUUUUUCAACUUUUUUUUAUCCUUGCUGUGGGCAUUUGAGCACAUCCCAAUACCUUUCUCUUUAUAACAGGAGAGGAAAGUGUUAUCAUCCCAAAUCUGCCUAUUGGGAAUUGCCAUGGAAAAUGCUAAUACAUUCAGAUGUCCAGAGGUGCAGAUGGGGCCUUUCUCAGGUGCCUUACUCUUGUAUUUGGUAGCCAAACCUGUCUGGAAAUGCCCCUAGAGAUGCCUCACUGAAAAUCUGACCCUGAGUGAUGGGACCCAAACCCAGGCUGGUGUGUGUCCCCGAAGCUCAGCAGCGCUGCAGAUGCUGGCUUGUCCUUCCUACCCUCGCACUGCGCGCAGACCUCUCGCUGCUGCCUUUAAUUUAGAGGAGCCACUCUGAAUAGAAAGCUUGCGCUCAGGUGUAUCCUGAUCUGUUUGUGGCUUUGAGGUUGAAAUGUUCCCUAUAUCUUCCGCCAAAGCCUGGGCUGUGGGGAGUGCGUAGUGAGGGAGACAGUCUCUGUCCCAUGUUCUCUGCACCCACGCACCAGCUAAGCAUAAUAUAAUCUGCUGUGCAGCCACCACGGCUGGAGCACCUGCCGGAAGGAAACUCAGGUGAAAAUGAAGCAGUGGCAUGUGUCAGCAGUCCCACACAGAGCAGGAGGAGCAGAACGGAGACAAGCAUUAUACAGAGCCCUCUGCCAAAGUUUGGACGGAAGUAACACAAGAUGUCAGGGUGGUUGAAGUCCUCUGUGCCACUGCUACACAGGGUGCUCCUGGAGAUUGCAUCCCAGCUUCCAUGGGGUGCUGCCCAGGUGGAGUCUCCUCACCUGAGCCUUUACUGGAGCUGGGACGUAAAGCUGCUGUUCUGCAUCCUCUUUGGAAGAAAAAAGCAUUUCUUUUGUAAGUGAGACCAAAGAAGCUCAGUGUGAGGAGGUCGAGCACAAAUCCUGUACUCUCCUUGUCUUAAAAACAAAUGCUGUGAGAACCUUGAUCCUGCCUGCCCUGCUGCUUCCUGGUUAUAUAACAAAUGGUAUUUUGAAAUAGUGCCAUGGUGUAUUUUUAAAUAUCAAAUUUUGCUGUGUUUUUAAAUUGCAGCUUCUCUUUGGUCAAGAAUGCUUUAUCCCUGUGU